UGGGGAAUUUUGGACAAUGGGCGAAAGCCUGAUCCAGCAAUGCCGCGUGUGUGAAGAAGGCCUUCGGGUUGUAAAGCACUUUUGUCCGGAAAGAAAUCCUUGGCUCUAAUACAGUCGGGGGAUGACGGUACCGGAAGAAUAAGCACCGGCUAACUACGUGCCAGCAGCCGCGGUAAUACGUAGGGUGCAAGCGUUAAUCGGAAUUACUGGGCGUAAAGCGUGCGCAGGCGGUUUGCUAAGACCGAUGUGAAAUCCCCGGGCUCAACCUGGGAACUGCAUUGGUGACUGGCAGGCUAGAGUAUGGCAGAGGGGGGUAGAAUUCCACGUGUAGCAGUGAAAAUGCGUAGGAGAUGUGGAGGAAUACCGAUGGCGAAGGCAGCCCCCUGGGCCAAAUACUGACGCUCAUGCACGAAAAGCGUGGGGGAGCAAAACAGGAUUAGAUACCCUGGUAGUCCACGCCCUAAAACGAUGUCAACUAGUUGUUGGGGAUUCAUUUCCUUAGUAACGUAGCUAACGCGUGAAGUUGACCGCCUGGGGGAGUACGGUCGCAAGAUUAAAACUCAAAUGAAUUGACGGGGUCAUAGCUGUUUCCU
rnacentral:rRNA from 1 species